rnacentral:rRNA from 1 species
CAGUAGUCACGAGUUUGAUCAUGGCUCAGGAUGAACGCUGGCGGUAUGCCUAACACAUGCAAGUCGUACGAGAGUUUUUAACUCUAGUGGCGGACGGGUGAGUAACACGUGAGAAUUUGCCUUUAGGAGGGGACAACAAUUGGAAACGAUUGCUAAUACCCCAUAUGCUUUUUUAAGUGAAACGGAUUUAUUCGCCUAAAGAAAAGCUCGCGGCUGAUUAGCUAGUUGGUAAGGUAAUGGCUUACCAAGGCGACGAUCAGUAUCUGGUUUGAGAGGAUGAUCAGACACACUGGAACUGAGACACGGUCCAGACUCCUACGGGAGGCAGCAGUGGGAAUUUCCGCAAUGGGCGAAAGCCUGAACGGAGCAAUACCGCGUGAGGGAAGAAAGCCUACUGGGUUGUAAACCUCUUUUUUCAGGGAGGAAAAAAAUGACGUGUACCUGAAGAAUAAGCAUCGGUUAACUCCGUG